ensembl:snoRNA SNORA62 Small nucleolar RNA SNORA62/SNORA6 family
CAUGCACAUUGAUAGAGGUUGGAGUUGAGGCCACUGGCUGGCCGAUGAACUCAGAAAAAUAGGUAGCAUACUAACUUGAGGGGUAAUUCUUUUGGUAAAACCACAAGUGUCUCUGGCCAAAUGAGUGGUCUUUGAUAGUAAUUCUUUAUACAAGU